UAGAAAGAAGUGUGUUGGGUGCACAAGGGGUUUUGAUCUCCUUAGGUUAGGUUCGAAUCCUUUCUUUUUAA
rnacentral:tRNA from 1 species